rnacentral:rRNA from 1 species
UCACUUGUUCUUUAAAUGAGGACUAGUAUCAACGGCAUCACGAGGAUCCUACUGUCUCCCCCCUCCAGUCAGUGAAACUGAUCUCUCCGUGAAGAAGCGGAGAUACGCGUAUAAGACGAGAAGACCCCAUGGAGCUUUAAACCCAACAACACCCGCCUCCCUUAAACCCUAUUAUUAGCCCGGCGAUUGUUUGCUUGGUUUUAGGUUGGGGUGACCACGGAGUACAAAACAUCCUCCAUGAAAAAAAGCUAACUGCCCUUAUUAGAGAAAGACAUUUCCAAAAAUAACAAAUUAAUUUUUAAUGACCCGAUAUUCGAUCAACGAACCAAGUUACCCUGGGGAUAACAGCGCAAUCCGCCCCGAGAGCCCCUAUCGACAGGCGGGUUUACGACCUCGAUGUUGGAUCAGGGUAUCCUAGUGGUGCAGCAGCUACUAACGGUUCGUUUGUUCAACGAUUAAAACCCUAC